rnacentral:rRNA from 1 species
UACGUAGGGUGCAAGCGUUAAUCGGAAUUACUGGGCGUAAAGCGUGCGCAGGCGGUGAUGUAAGACAGAUGUGAAAUCCCCGGGCUCAACCUGGGAACUGCAUCUGUGACUGCAUCGCUGGAGUGCGGCAGAGGGGGAUGGAAUUCCGCGUGUAGCAGUGAAAUGCGUAGAUAUCAGAAGGAACAUCAGUGGCGAAGGCGGCUUCCUGGACCAAUACUGACGAUCAGGUGCGAAAGCGUGGGGAGCAAACAGG